GAUGAAGAACGCAGCGAAAUGCGAUAAGUAAUGUGAAUUGCAGAAUUCAGUGAAUCAUCGAAUCUUUGAACGCACAUUGCGCCCCCUGGUAUUCCGGGGGGCAUGCCUGUCCGAGCGUCAUUACAACCCUCAAGCUCAGCUUGGUGUUGGGCCCCGCCGCCCCGGCGGGCCCUAAAGUCAGUGGCGGUGCCGUCCGGCUCCGAGCGUAGUAAUUCUUCUCGCUCUGGAGGUCCGGUCGUGUGCUCGCCAGCAACCCCCAAUUUUUUCAGGUUGACCUCGGAUCAGGUAGGGAUACCCGCUGAACUUAAGCAUAUCAAUAAGCGGAGGA
rnacentral:misc_RNA from 1 species